rnacentral:lncRNA from 1 species
AAAAAAAAAAAAGAAAAGAAACAGAAAGCAAGACACUGGAAGGCAAGAAGAAAAAAAAAGAAAGAAAAACGUGAAAAGAAAAAGGAAAGAAAGAAAGGAAAGGAAGAAAAGGAAGAAAAUAUAUUUGGUAUACCUUAAAGACUUCUUUGAGCAACCCGAUGGAAAGAUAGACCACCUAAUCGGUGACGGAACCGUGAUGAA